rnacentral:rRNA from 1 species
AUUGAACGCUGGCGGCAUGCCUUACACAUGCAAGUCGAACGGUAACAGGUCUUCGGAUGCUGACGAGUGGCGAACGGGUGAGUAAUACAUCGGAACGUGCCCGAUCGUGGGGGAUAACGCAGCGAAAGCUGUGCUAAUACCGCAUACGAUCUACGGAUGAAAGCGGGGGAUCGCAAGACCUCGCGCGGACGGAGCGGCCGAUGGCAGAUUAGGUAGUUGGUGGGAUAAAAGCUUACCAAGCCGACGAUCUGUAGCUGGUCUGAGAGGACGACCAGCCACACUGGGACUGAGACACGGCCCAGACUCCUACGGGAGGCAGCAGUGGGGAAUUUUGGACAAUGGGGGAAACCCUGAUCCAGCCAUGCCGCGUGCAGGAUGAAGGCCUCGGUUGUAACUGCUUUGUACGGACGAAAGGUCCUUCUAAUAAGAGGGCUCAUGACGGUACCGUAAGAAUAAGCACGGCUAACUACGUGCCAGCAGCCGCGGU